UGGGGAAUUGUUCGCAAUGGGCGCAAGCCUGACGACGCAACGCCGCGUGGAGGAUGAAGAUCUUCGGGUCGUAAACUCAUUUCGAUCGAGACGAAUGGCCUCCGGGCUAACAUCCUGGAGGAGUGACGGUACCGAGAGAAGAAGCCCCGGCUAACUCCGUGCCAGCAGCCGCGGUAAUACGGGGGGGGCAAGCGUUGUUCGGAAUUACUGGGCGUAAAGGGUGCGUAGGCGGUUCGUUAAGUCUGUCGGGAAAUCCCCGGGCUCAACCUGGGAAUGGCGAUGGAUACUGGCGAGCUAGAGUGUGUCAGAGGAUGGUGGAAUUCCCGGUGUAGCGGUGAAAUGCGUAGAGAUCGGGAGGAACAUCAGUGGCGAAGGUGGCCAUCUGGGACAACACUGACGCUGAAGCACGAAAGCGUGGGGAGCAAAC
rnacentral:rRNA from 1 species